GAAAUGCGAUAAUUAAUGUGAAUUGCAGAAUUCAGUGAAUCAUCGAGUCUUUGAACGCACAUUGCGCCCCCUGGUAUUCUGGGGGGCAUGCCUGUCCGAGCGUCAUUGCUGCCCUCAAGCACGGCUUGUGUGUUGGGCUUCCGUCCCUGGCAACGGGGACGGGCCCAAAAGGCAGUGGCGGCACCAUGUCUGGUCCUCGAGCGUAUGGGGCUUUGUCACCCGCUCCCGUAGGUCCAGCUGGCAGCUAGCCUCGCAACCAAUCUUUUUAACCAGGUUGACCUCGGAUCAGGUAGGGAUACCCGCUGAACUUAAGC
rnacentral:misc_RNA from 1 species